GACGAAGGAUGCAAGCGUUUAUCCGGAUUCAUUGGGUUUAAAAGGGUGCGUAGGCGGCCAGAUAAGUCAGUGGUGAAAUCCUGUUGCUUAACAACAGAACUGCCAUUGAUACUGUUUGGCUUAGUAUAGUUGCUGUGGGCGGAAUAUGACAUGUAGUGGUGAAAUACAAUAGAGAUGUCAUAGAACACCAUUGCGAAGGCAGCUCACAAAACUAUAAC
rnacentral:rRNA from 1 species